GUCUACAGCAAACAGAGCCACUCUGUUCUGUGUUCAUUCUUUUAAUUUGAGGAAGAUAAAAUGAUCUGCUUUCUCCUCUUCUGUUGUCUGGCUGGUGUUAGUCUGGGUCUUGAGGUCCAUCAGUCUCACUCUGAUCUCAUCAAAAAACCUGGUGACAAAGUGCAGAUUUUCUGCAGCCAUGAUAAAACUGACUAUACGCUGAUGUACUGGUACCAGCGUUCACCAGGAGACACAGCAUUGAAACUCAUUGGAUACUUGUACAACCAAGCUGUAAAAAUGGAAAAGGAAUAUGAGGAACAUUUCCAUAUCUCUGGAGAUUUGCGUGGAGUUGCAGCCAAGAAUGGCUCUCUGAUAGUCCAAAUAACUGGACAUGAGCAAAGUGCUGUUUACUACUGUGCAGCCAGCUAUGCACAGUGACUCUAGUUUCUCUCUCCUU